GUUUUUGUGGUGUAGGUAUAAUGCACGAAAGAUUUUCAAUUUUUAGGAGUAAAUAUAUUAUAGUUUAUCAAAAAUU
rnacentral:tRNA from 1 species